rnacentral:rRNA from 1 species
GAGCGACCCGCGAACCGGUUGGAACGAACCUCCGUGCGGGGGAGGGCGAGGGCGCGCCCGAGGCCUCCCCCGAGAACAAAACCCCGGCGCCCCAGGCGCCAAGGAAACGAAACAGAGCAGGGCACGCCCGCCGCCGGUCGCCCGGGGCGGGGUCCCAUGCCGGAUUGCAUCCGAAACGACUCUCGGCAACGGAUAUCUCGGCUCUCGCAUCGAUGAAGAACGUAGCGAAAUGCGAUACUUGGUGUGAAUUGCAGAAUCCCGUGAACCAUCGAGUCUUUGAACGCAAGUUGCGCCCGAAGCCGCUAGGCCGAGGGCACGUCUGCCUGGGUGUCACGCAGCGUCGCCAACGCCCAACACUCUGGGCGCGGCGGAUGAUGGCCUCCCGGGAGCCUCGCCUCCCGGCUGGCCGAAAGAGGGGCCCGACGUGACGACCGCCACGAUCCACGGUGGUUGAGUGAGAGACUCGCUCGAGGCCAAGGCGUGCGCGCGUCGUCUCACGGGGAGGGCCCGCCGGCAGGGGCGUCUGCCCCCCACUCGUACGCGACCCCAGGUCAGGCGGGGCUACCCGCUGAGUUUAAGCAUAUCAAUAAGCGGAGGAAAAGAAACUAACGAGGAUUCCCCUAGUAACGGCGAGCG